rnacentral:lncRNA from 1 species
GAGGAGAAGCCCGCGGCGCAGUCUAUGGCCUCCUAGGGGGAAGGGCCUUGAGGUCCCUGUCCUUCUCCUAACAGGCGGCGACGCAGCCAUGGCCUUGCUGUCGUGGGAGUCCCAGACAGGGUAGGAAGGAGGGCCAUAGAAAGGAGGAGGGCCGAGUGAACAUGGAGUUUUGAAGGGGGAAACCAUUUGUGGUAUUUGAGUCCCGGAGGCAUAUGAAACCGCCCACAGAAGACACAUUCCAAAGUCUUCAGUGGGAACCUGGGAGAGGGCAGAGGACUGCGCGGCGCUGGAUGGGGUAGAGCGAGGAGGGUCGAGGAGGGGCGCCACAGCCCACAGAGCAGGCACCGACCUCACUGCGCAUGUGCCCUGGGCGUCUUCCCGUCGGCCCCUUUGCCCACGUGGUGAACGCGGCGGAGCUGUGAGGGUGUGAGGGUCGCGCUCCUGCUGUCUGGACUUUUUCUGUCCUACUGAGACACGGCCGACAUGAGAUGAUGAACCUCAAGUACCACCCCAGACAACAAGGCUGCUUCAUCAGGACACAAACCUGCCUGUACCAGGACCUCUGACCUGUGUGCAGCAGAAGGAGUGGGUCAACAUAGCUUCUGAAGAGCAUUCAUUGGAGUGAAUCUGCCAUUUAUUGGCUGUUCUUCAAACCAUAAGACUGAUAUUGAUGGUCAGCUUACAGAGGUAUGCUCUCUACAGAUUUUCACGCCCAUCCAAUCUGUAAUGUGGCUCAUCUGUGACUCAUUCAUCAGGAGCAUGAAUUUUAGUGGCGAAGAGAAUCUGACCAGCCUUGUUCCACAGAGCUCAUAUGAAAUGUGCUGAUGAUCUUUGUGCUGGCCGCAGGAAUGGUAAUAAAACCAAUUGGACUAACCAUAAUCCUUCUAUAGAUUAACAUGAUUUCAGAAUUAUUAACCACUUUCACAUGACUCUAUGUACAUAGCCACAACUGGUUACGUUGUACAUUAUGGUAAUCACUAUUACAUGGUGAUUUUGCUUCCAACAUUAUAUACACACAUUCAACAAAGCUGAUUUUAAUUUUGGGAGCCAGAUUCUAUUUAUUCUUCAGGGAAAAUAAAGCAGACAAAACCUUCAAGUUUUA